rnacentral:rRNA from 1 species
GACGAACGCUGGCGGCGUGCUUAACACAUGCAAGUCGAACGGAAAGGCCUCUUUCGGGGGGUACUCGAGUGGCGAACGGGUGAGUAACACGUGAGUAACCUGCCCUUGACUUUGGGAUAACUUCAGGAAACUGGGGCUAAUACCGGAUAGGAGCUCCUGCUGCAUGGUGGGGGUUGGAAAGUUUCGGCGGUUGGGGAUGGACUCGCGGCUUAUCAGCUUGUUGGUGGGGUAGUGGCUUACCAAGGCUUUGACGGGUAGCCGGCCUGAGAGGGUGACCGGCCACAUUGGGACUGAGAUACGGCCCAGACUCCUACGGGAGGCAGCAGUGGGGAAUAUUGCACAAUGGGUGGGAGCCUGAUGCAGCAACGCCGUGGGCGGGAUGACGGCCUUCGGGUUGUAAACCGCUUUCGCUCAUGACGAAGCUUUGUGUGACGGUAGUGGGUAAAGAAGCACCGGCUAACUACGUG